CAGUAUUUGAGCGACAAAGAUUCGACGAGCGUUAGUUAGAUCAGUGAUCCCCUAACAGUGUUCUGGGGUACAUUUGUGUGCUGCUAUUCCGGUUGGAAAUAACUGAGUUAGAAAGAGAGAAGCAAGAAGAAUAACUCCGUUUGGUCAGAAGGUAAAUGAGUUCUUACGGCAUCUAUGACAUCUAUGGCAUCUUGGCAUAUGUGGCAUGUUGGCAUAUAAGGUUGUUGACGUGCUCAUAAAGGCCUGUGGAAAAAGAGCGACUUGUCCGGAGUGACUGAACAGGAGUUUCAGGAAUGAUACGGCACCAAUUUGGAGAAAGAGGGAGGAUACCGAGGCAUGCGAGAGGCCCGGGUCAGAGAGGAUGGCCAUAGUGGUCUGUAGGGUUCGAUUUUCAGGGCCAUUUCUAAACCACAUACGGUAUGUGUAUUAUUCAAGUGGGCAUUUUAAAUUUCAAUAAAAUGUGCCUUGUCUGUUCAAAAAAAGUAUCAGUUGGUACAUCAAUAAUCAUCCACAGGAUCUGCUCCAAAAUUCUCUCUUCCAAAAAGUUGUGACAUUGUGUAAAAUGUAAAUUAAAAAAUACAAUACUUUUUUUCCCUAUAAUUUCCUUUUUGACAUGUAUUCAUUGGGUUUGGGUUAGGGGUACUCCAAUAAAUCUUUGUCAGUUAACAGAAUGUGUUGCUACAUCUACAAAUACAUGUUAAAACCCCUCCAUGGAAAGUGAAAGCCAUAUCUCGAGAACACCCUGAAAUUCUGCAUGAUUCCCUGGGCACAAAUUCAUCUGAGAUGGACUGACACAAAAACAUAAAUGUGCUGUGGUCUCCCAAGUCCACAUUUAUUUUUUUGGGGGGAAAUCAUGGUUGUCAUUUUCUCUGGGCCAAAGGGAAAAAAACACAAUUCGAAUUAUCAGGACAAAGUUCCAAAGUGAGCAUAUGUGAUCAUACCGUAUUGGGUGUGUUCCAAUGGCACGGAGAACUGUGAAGGCACCACUUAUGCUGAAAGGUACAUAGAUUUUUUUGGAGCUAGAUAAGCUGCCAACCAAGCAAUGCCUUUUUUUCGGGAUGUCACUGCUUGUUUCAUCAAGAAAUUGUCAUGCCAACCUUUGUUUCAACGGUGUGGCUUAGUACUAAAAAAGUGUGAGUAAUGGGGUGGCCUCUCAGCGGUGCAGACCUGUCUACCAUUUGUAAAUGUGCGUGUUAUGAAGUGAAAAAUAUAACAGUGGAUGCACUGUAUUGGUGAGCAAAAGAAGUUGUACAUUAAGCAAGCAUGGGAAAGAAUCCGACAACAAAGCAUCAUCAAUUACUGUCCUAAGUUUAGUGAUUGUCCUGGACCAAAGGGAGUCAAACUCAAUCGGAGUGGAGCCCCAUGCAAGAUAUCACCUCGUGGGGUCUCAAUGAUCCUUAGAAAGGUGAGGAAUCAGCCUAGGACUACGUGACAGGACUGAGUCAAUGACCUGAAAAGAGCUGGGACCACCGUUUCCAAGGUGACUGUUGGUAAUACACUCGGAUGUCAUGGUUUGAAAUCAUGCAUGGCACGGAACUUUCCCUUGCUUAAACCAGCACAUGUCAAGGCCUGUAUUAAGUUUGCCAAUGACCAUUUGGAUGAUACAGAGGAGUCAUGGGAGAACGUUUUGUGGUCAGAUGAGACCAAAAUUGAACUUUUUGGUCAUAAUUCCACGAACUGUGUUUGGAGAAAGGCGAAUGAUGAGUUCCAUCCCAAGAACACCAUCCCUACUGUGAAGCAUGGGGGUAGUAGCAUCAUGCUUUGGGGGUGUUUUUCUGCACAUGGGACAGGAGGACUGCACUGUAUUAAGGAGAUAACCGCGGCGACAUAUCGUGAGAUUUUGGGGAACAACCUCUUUCCCUCAGUCAGAGCAUUGAAGAUGGGUUGUGGCUGGGUCUUUCAACAUGACAUUGACCUGAAGCACACAGGAAAACCAAGGAGUGGCUCCGAAAUAAGCAUAGCAAGGUUUUGGCGUGGCCUAGACAGUCUCAAGACUUAAACCCAAUAGAAAAUCUUUGGAGGGAGCUGAAACUCCGCGUUUCUCGGCGACAGCCCAGAAACCUGUCUGAUCUAGAGAUCUCUGUGGAGGAGUGGACUAAAAUCCCUCCUGCAGUGUGUGCAAACCUGGUGAACAACUACAGGAAACAUUUGACCUCUGUAAGUGCAAACAAAGGCUACCGUACAAAAAAUUAACAUUGGUUUUCUCAGUUGUUCAAACACUUAUUUGUAGCUGUAUCACACACAUAAAUCGUUAAAAAAAAAU